GAAGGAGACAGACAUGGUCUCUGCUGUUAUCAGGGUUCUUAGCUGCAAGCAACAGAAAGCAGCUGAUCUAAGCUGAAAAAGAACACAUUGAAAGGCUGUUGGAGAGCUUACGGAAUGACGGGGAAGUUAGGACCACAAAGCUGACAAAACAGGCAGGCAUAAAGGGAGGCCGGCAGCCGUGACACAGCCAGUGUCAGCGCCAGAAGCAGCCCAGGAGGCCAGACUGCAGCCCUGCUGAACCCGGUACAUGAGGACACCGCCCGGGCAUCGCCCGCACCACCUGCUCUGGACCCUGCCCGCCGCUGUCGCUGCACCCCUGGGGAUCCUGAAACCCAGAUGUCCGCCACCACCAGGGUGGAGUUUGUGCCAUGUGCCCAAGUGAAGCUGGGAGAACCAACUUCUGGCUUUCAAAGCUUCAAAAUUGGGAGUCGGGCUCUGGCACUCUCUACCCCGUAUGUAGCUUUCACCCAGUUUCAAUAAUUAUGCACACUAUGAUUGCCGCCAAGUUAAAAUCUAUGUGUAAGUAGACUGGGAAGUAGUUUUGAAAAAAUGAAAAUAGUCGUGGAUUAUAGGAUUUUUCUCCCCCCCCUUAAACCUUUUGUUUGUGGUAAGAUACUGUACGUAUUAAGUAUACAUUUCAUUUUUUUUUUUAAAUAUAAAAACAUACAGUCCUUGAGAUCUGGGUUUUUGUUUAUCUUUGAAUUUUCCACAUCUUUUACCCAUAGAAGGAACUCAAAGUUUAUGUUUUAAUUGCAUGAAAUUCAAGGUAAAUCCUUUUUUCUUGAGGAAGGCAAUUUUGGUUCAAGAGAAUAUUGAUCAUAUAUAUCACUUUGGUUUUCUUUGUAGGAUUAUAAGCUUGACUUUGGCAAUUUCCAAGGCAAAACAAGUGAAACUUGGCAUGGAGGCAAGAAGGGGUUAACAGUGGAACAUAUGUCCCAAUGGAAAUUAAUGUUUGCACUCAAGAAGGAAAACAAAUAACCUGUCGAAGUUAUCAGAUGAGAAAUUAUGAGAGCGCUCCCCCUUCACCCCAGUAUAAAAAGGUCAUUUGCAUGGGUGCCAAAGAGAAUGGUCUGCCACUGGAGUAUCAAAAGAAGUUAAAUGCGAUAGAACCAAAUAACUACAGAGGAAGGGUCUCCGAAGAAAUUGAAGACAUUCUCAGAAAGGGGGAAACAAAAACUCCUUAGAACAUACUAGACUGUACCUUUGGGUAUUUUCUCUAUGUGCUCAUUUAAUAUGUUUUUAACAUUUGGAACAGGGAUCUGGGAUAUAUCUGCGUUUAAAGUAUUUUCAACAGUGCUCUGAAGGGAUAUCUCACUGGACUGAUUCCUUGUUUUCAGACUAAAAAAAGAAACUGGGUUAGGAGUUGGGCAGUUGCAAAGGGAACCAUGAGGCACCGAAUGCAUGAUAUGUGGAUGUGGGUUCUUCCGUGAACACUUUUCUAUGCAGUUAUUUUCUUGAGUUGAUCUGAAGUGUAAUCUUGCUCUGUGACAAAGGAUAGAUUUGCAACUUAAUGACGGUGCUGGUGAGUCACUCUGCUCUGGAAUUGUUUUUGUUUUAUCAGCCUAAUAAGAGCAAGCAAGCCGCAGAGACAGUUGACAAUAAACAUUUUAAAAUUUAAA